AGAGUUUGAUCAUGGCUCAGGACGAACGCUGGCGGCGCGCCUAACACAUGCAAGUCGAACGGAGUUGUGUUGAAAGCUUGCUGGAAAUACAACUUAGUGGCGGACGGGUGAGUAACACGUGAGUAACCUGCCUUUCAGAGUGGAAUAACGUUUGGAAACGAACGCUAAUACCGCAUAACAUGAGAGAACGGCAUCGUUCUUUCAUCAAAGAUUUUAUCGCUGAGAGAUGGGCUCGCGGCCGAUUAGGUAGUUGGUGAGAUAACAGCCCACCAAGCCGACGAUCGGUAGCCGG
rnacentral:rRNA from 1 species